rnacentral:rRNA from 1 species
AUUGAACGCUGGCGGCAGGCCUAACACAUGCAAGUCGAACGGUAACAGGAAACAGCUUGCUGUUUCGCUGACGAGUGGCGGACGGGUGAGUAAUGUCUGGGAAACUGCCUGAUGGAGGAGGAUAACUACUGGAAACGGUAGCUAAUACCGCAUAACGUCGCAAGACCAAAGAGGGGGACCUUCGGGCCUCUUGCCAUCGGGUGUGCCCAGAUGGGAUUAGCUUGUUGGUGGGGUAACGGCUCACCAAGGCGACGAUCCCUAGCUGGUCUGAGAGGAUGACCAGCCACACUGGAACUGAGACACGGUCCAGACUCCUACGGGAGGCAGCAGUGGGGAAUAUUGCACAAUGGGCGCAAGCCUGAUGCAGCCAUGCCGCGUGUAUGAAGAAGGCCUUCGGGUUGUAAAGUACUUUCAGCGGGGAGGAAGGGAGUAAAGUUAAUACCUUUACUCAUUGACGUUACCCGCAGAAGAAGCACCGGCUAACUCCGUGCCAGCAGCCGCGGUAA